AUACUUACCUGGAUGGGGUCGAUGGGCGAUCAUGAAGGCCCAUGGCCUUAAUUUGUGGUAGAGGGUGCGCUGGUCUACCAUCUCCCCAAGCGGGAGAGUGGACGUCUUAAUUUGUGGUAGAGGGGCCGCGCGAACGCGGCCCCUG
rnacentral:snRNA from 2 species